rnacentral:misc_RNA from 1 species
AACACAUCACAUAAAUGAGUGAUUGCCCUAGCAGCAAGCAGCAUUAUAUCCGGAUUACUCUCAUGGUUCAGUAACCCAACAAGCACUGGUACAAAUGAAUCCACCGAGAAAGUACUCAAUGACUCCUCAGUUCCAAUUGAGAGCAUCUCACAAAGCUGAGUUAAAGCCUCCACUUGCUUCCCUUCCUCCCCAUCUGAUCGCAAACCUGAUAAAAUCUUCUUCAGUCUGCC